rnacentral:tRNA from 1 species
GAAGAGAUGGCUCAGCAGUUAAGAGCACUGGCUGCUCUUCCCAGAGGACCUGGGUUCAAUUCCUAGUACCUACA